CGGACGGGUGAGUAACGCGUGGGUAACCUGCCUCAUACAGGGGGAUAACAGUUGGAAACGACUGCUAAUACCGCAUAAGCGCACAGGAUCGCAUGAUCCGGUGUGAAAAACUCCGGUGGUAUGAGAUGGACCCGCGUCUGAUUAGCCAGUUGGCAGGGUAACGGCCUACCAAAGCGACGAUCAGUAGCCGACCUGAGAGGGUGACCGGCCACAUUGGGACUGAGACACGGCCCAGACUCCUACGGGAGGCAGCAUG
rnacentral:rRNA from 1 species